GACGUAGGGGGCGAGCGUUGUCCGGAUUCAUUGGGCGUAAAGCGCGCGUAGGCGGCCCGGUAAGUCGGAUGUGAAAUCUCACGGCUCAACCGUGGAACUGCAUUCGAUACUGUCGGGCUAGAGGCAGGUAGGGGAGAUCGGAAUUCCCGGUGUAGCGGUGAAAUGCGCAGAUAUCGGGAGGAACACCGGUGGCGAAGGCGGAUCUCUGGGCCUGUCCUGACGCUCAGGCGCGAAGCUAGGGAGCAACAGG
rnacentral:rRNA from 1 species